rnacentral:rRNA from 1 species
GGAUCCAGACUUUGAUUAUGGCUCAGGAUGAACGCUAGCUACAGGCUUAACACAUGCAAGUCGAGGGGAAACGAUAUUGGAAGCUUGCUUCCGAUAGGCGUCGACCGGCGCACGGGUGAGUAACGCGUAUCCAACCUGCCCACCACUUGGGGAUAACCUUGCGAAAGUAAGACUAAUACCCAAUGAUAUCUCUAGAAGACAUCUGAAAGGGAUUAAAGAUUUAUCGGUGAUGGAUGGGGAUGCGUCUGAUUAGCUUGUUGGCGGGGUAACGGCCCACCAAGGCGACGAUCAGUAGGGGUUCUGAGAGGAAGGUCCCCCACAUUGGAACUGAGACACGGUCCAAACUCCUACGGGAGGCAGCAGUGAGGAAUAUUGGUCAAUGGGCGAGAGCCUGAACCAGCCAAGUAGCGUGCAGGAUGACGGCCCUAUGGGUUGUAAACUGCUUUUAUAAGGGAAUAAAGUGAGUCUCGUGAGACUUUUUGCAUGUACCUUAUGAAUAAGGACCGGCUAAUUCCGUGCCAGCAGCCGCGGUAAUACGGAAGGUCCGGGCGUUAUCCGGAUUUAUUGGGUUUAAAGGGAGCGUAGGCCGGAGAUUAAGCGUGUUGUGAAAUGUAGACGCUCAACGUCUGCACUGCAGCGCGAACUGGUUUCCUUGAGUACGCACAAAGUGGGCGGAAUUCGUGGUGUAGCGGUGAAAUGCUUAGAUAUCACGAAGAACUCCGAUUGCGAAGGCAGCUCACUGGAGCGCAACUGACGCCGAAGCUCGAAAGUGCGGGUAUCGAACAGGAUUAGAUACCCUGGUAGUCCGCACGGUAAACGAUGGAUGCCCGCUGUUGGUCUGAAUAGGUCAGCGGCCAAGCGAAAGCAUUAAGCAUCCCACCUGGGGAGUACGCCGGCAACGGUGCAACUCAAAUGAAUUGACGG